UCCUAAGAAAGUAAAGAAAUACUUGACCUGCACCAACUCCAAAGAGACAACUUAUUUGUAAGGCAGCCAGAGCCAUAAAGGGUUUAUUCUUUGGCCUUAAUUCUGUGACAUCCACCUUUGUAGCGUAGAUAUUCUACUUCAUUUGUUGAGAGAGACACCAGGGCCUUGCCAGAACUUCCCCAUGGGACUGUGGAUGAGAGUCAGAUUCACAGAAAGGACGUGGAUGACAGUCAGAUUCACAGAAAGGACGUGGAUGUCUCGAUGGCAGUUCCUCAGCUCUCCAGCCCCACUAUUGGACCUUCCAUGAGGGCCAGUGCUGGUGGUCUAGCUGCUGCCCUCCUAAGCCCAAAUACUACUGAUGAUAGGAGGACCAUUCAAUAAACUUGCUAACCACACUUAGCCUAGCAUUUGACGCAAAUCUGUCUUUCUCGCUUUCAUUCAUUUUUAGAUUACAUAUUCUAUUUUUAGUUAUAUUUUAAGUAUAUUUCA